GACGAACGCUGGCGGCGUGCUUAACACAUGCAAGUCGAACGGAAAGGCCCUGCUUUUGUGGGGUGCUCGAGUGGCGAACGGGUGAGUAACACGUGAGUAACCUGCCCUUGACUUUGGGAUAACUUCAGGAAACUGGGGCUAAUACCGGAUAGGAGCUCCUGCUGCAUGGUGGGGGUCGGAAAGUUUCGGCGGUUGGGGAUGGACUCGCGGCUUAUCAGCUUGUUGGUGGGGUAGUGGCUUACCAAGGCUUUGACGGGUAGCCUGCCUGAGAGGGUGACCGGCCACAUUGGGACUGAGAUACGGCCCAGACUCGUACGGGAGGCAACAGUGGGGAAUAUUGCACAAUGGGCGGAAGCCUGAGGCAGCAACGCCGCGUGCGGGAUGACGGCCUUCGGGUUGUAAACCGCUUUCGCCUGUGACGAAGCGUGAGUGACGGUAAUGGGUAAAGAAGCACCGGCUAACUACGUG
rnacentral:rRNA from 1 species